rnacentral:rRNA from 1 species
AAUAGAUACCCAGGUAGUCCACGCCGUAAACGUUGGGCACUAGGUGUGGGGUCUAUUCAACGGACUCCGUGCCGUAGCUAACGCAUUAAGUGCCCCGCCUGGGGAGUACGGCCGCAAGGCUAAAACUCAAAGGAAUUGACGGGGGCCCGCACAAGCAGCGGAGCAUGUUGCUUAAUUCGAGGCAACGCGAAGAACCUUACCUGGGUUUGACAUGUAGAGAAAAGCCACAGAGAUGUGGUGUCCUUCGGGGUUCUACACAGGUGGUGCAUGGUUGUCGUCAGCUCGUGUCGUGAGAUGUUGGGUUAAGUCCCGCAACGAGCGCAACCCUUGUCCUAUGUUGCCAGCACGUCAUGGUGGGGACUCGUAGGAGACUGCCGGGGUCAACGUCGGAGGAAGAUGGGGACGACGUCAAAUCAUCAUGCCCCUUAUAUCCAAGGCUGCAAACAUGCUACAAUGGCCGGUACAAAGGGCUGCGAAACCGUGAGGUGAGCGAAUCCCGUAAAGCCGGUCUCAGUUCGGAUUGGAGUCUGCAACUCGACUCC